rnacentral:misc_RNA from 1 species
AAAUUCCAUAUAGAACAUUUUGUUCCUGGGCGUAAAGGGAUGGUUUUACCAGUCAGUAAUAUUUUACUAGCAGAAUCUAAUCUUUUUCAAUAAAUAAUAGGUGUGCCCUCAGCACAUCUCUAACAUUGUUCUUGAUCAAGCACAAUCCAUGCAGGUGUAAUAUAAAGAGUUAUAAUCACGUUCAUGCACAACACGAGCAAUCCACCCGUGGAAUUUGAUCAUCAACAAGCCAGCUCCAUGAUUUCCUCUGUUGGUUUCACGGUCAUUAGCAGACGACGUGGUGUUGUGCAUCCUAGCGAAGAGAAAUCCCACCACUGGAAAAUUCGACCUCCUGAGCAGGUGGUAGAGACGAAACCCA